rnacentral:rRNA from 1 species
AUGGGAGCUUGCUCCCUGAUGUUAGCGGCGGACGGGUGAGUAACACGUGGGUAACCUGCCUGUAAGACUGGGAUAACUCCGGGAAACCGGGGCUAAUACCGGAUGCUUGUUUGAACCGCAUGGUUCAAACAUAAAAGGUGGCUUCGGCUACCACUUACAGAUGGACCCGCGGCGCAUUAGCUAGUUGGUGAGGUAAUGGCUCACCAAGGCAACGAUGCGUAGCCGACCUGAGAGGGUGAUCGGCCACACUGGGACUGAGACACGGCCCAGACUCCUACGGGAGGCAGCAGUAGGGAAUCUUCCGCAAUGGACGAAAGUCUGACGGAGCAACGCCGCGUGAGUGAUGAAGGUUUUCGGAUCGUAAAGCUCUGUUGUUAGGGAAGAACAAGUACCGUUCGAAUAGGGCGGUACCUUGACGGUACCUAACCAGAAAGCCACGGCUAACUACGUGCCAGCAGCCGCGGUAAUACGUAGGUGGCAAGCGUUGUCCGGAAUUAUUGGGCGUAAAGGGCUCGCAGGCGGUUUCUUAAGUCUGAUGUGAAAGCCCCCGGCUCAACCGGGGAGGGUCAUUGGAAACUGGGGAACUUGAGUGCAGAAGAGGAGAGUGGAAUUCCACGUGUAGCGGUGAAAUGCGUAGAGAUGUGGAGGAACACCAGUGGCGAAGGCGACUCUCUGGUCUGUAACUGACGCUGAGGAGCGAAAGCGUGGGGGAGCGAACAGGAUUAGAUACCCUGGUAGUCCACGCCGUAAACGAUGAGUGCUAAGUGUUAGGGGGUUUCCGCCCCUUAGUGCUGCAGCUAACGCAUUAAGCACUCCGCCUGGGGGAGUACGGUCGCAAGGACUGAAAACUCAAAGGAAUUGACGGGGGGCCCGCACAAGCGGUGGRGCAUGUGGUUUAAUUCGAAGCAACGCGAAGAACCUUACCAGGUCUUGACAUCCUCUGACAAUCCUAGAGAUAGGACGUCCCCUUCGGGGGCAGAGUGACAGGUGGUGCAUGGUUGUCGUCAGCUCGUGUCGUGAGAUGUUGGGUUAAGUCCCGCAACGAGCGCAACCCUUGAUCUUAGUUGCCAGCAUUCAGUUGGGCACUCUAAGGUGACUGCCGGUGACAAACCGGAGGAAGGUGGGGAUGACGUCAAAUCAUCAUGCCCCUUAUGACCUGGGCUACACACGUGCUACAAUGGACAGAACAAAGGGCAGCGAAACCGCGAGGUUAAGCCAAUCCCACAAAUCUGUUCUCAGUUCGGAUCGCAGUCUGCAACUCGACUGCGUGAAGCUGGAAUCGCUAGUAAUCGCGGAUCAGCAUGCCGCGGUGAAUACGUUCCCGGGCCUUGUACACACCGCCCGUCACACCACGAGAGUU